ACCAUCUUCACCUGGAGCCCCCUGCAGAGUCCCAUUAUACUUGCACUCAGAACCCUCCAACAAGCCCCGUGCAUCCAGAUUGGAUCUCACAGAG